GGGGGUUAAAGUAAUAAAUUAAAGAAAAAAUUAUUAAUUUUAUAGUUAAUUAGUAUUGUGUAAGAAAUUUGAAAUAAUGUGAAAAAAAAAUUAUUUGAAAGUAAAUUUAAAUUAUUGUAUCUUGUGUAUCAGAGUUUAUUAAAUAAAUUUUUAUGAUUAAAAAAUCUCGAAUUUAAAAGAGUUAAAUAAUUAAUAAAGUUAUUGUAGCAAAAAUAUUUUAAAUAGUUAUUUUGCAAUGAAAUGUUAUUCGUUUUUAAAUAUAUCUAGUUUUUUUAGAAAAAAAUUUAAUUUUAUAUUUUAUUUAAUAAAAUAUUAAUUAAUUAAUAUUUUAUUAAAUAAAAUAAAAUAUUUUAAGGGAUAAGCUUUAAUUUAAAAUAUUAUAAUUAAAUUAAUUUUUUUAAAAUUUUUAAAAUUUAUAUUGUUUAGAAAUUAUAAUUUAUUAUAAAUAAUUUUAAUAAUAGAAAAAUUUAAUUAAAUUUAAUUUUUUAUAAAAAUUUUUAUAUAAAUAGUAAAUAUAAGGAAAUAAUGAUAAAAUUAGUAUAUUAAAAUUAAAUAAAAUUAAUUUAAUUAAAAUUAAUUUAAAGGAAUUCGGCAAAUAUUCAUAUUCACUUGUUUAUCAAAAACAUGUCUUUUUGUUUAUAAUUUAAAGUCUAAUCUGCCCACUGAUUUUUAUUAAAGGGCUGCAGUAUUUUGACUGUACAAAGGUAGCAUAAUCAUUAGUCUCUUAAUUGGUGACUUGUAUGAAAGAUUGGAUGAAAUAUGAACUGUCUCUAAGUUAAUAGUAUAAUUUAAUUUUUUAGUUAAAAAGCUAAAAUUAAUUUAAAAGACGAGAAGACCCUAUAGAGUUUUAUAAAUGAAUUGAUUUAAAUUAUAUAUAAAUUUAUUAAUUUUAAAUUAAUUUAUUUAUUAUGUUGGGGUGAUAGAAAAAUAAAAAAAACUUUUUUUUUAAUAAUACAUAAAUAAGUGAUUUUUUGAUCCUGAAUUUUAGAUUAUAAGAAAAAAUUACCUUAGGGAUAACAGCGUAAUUUUUUUUUUUAGUUCAAAUAAGAAAAAAAGUUUGCGACCUCGAUGUUGGAUUAAGAUAAAAAUUAAAUGCAAAAGUUUAAAUUUUUGAUCUGUUCGAUCAUUAAAAUCUUACAUGAUCUGAGUUCAAACCGGUGUAAGCCAGGUUGGUUUCUAUCUUUAGAAAAAUAAAAUAUUUUAGUACGAAAGGAUCAAGUAUUUAAAUUAAAUUUAAAUUUAAGAAUAUUAUUAAU
rnacentral:rRNA from 1 species